rnacentral:rRNA from 1 species
AGGACGAACGCUGGCGGCGUGCUUAACACAUGCAAGUCGAGCGGUAAGGCCUUUCGGGGUACACGAGCGGCGAACGGGUGAGUAACACGUGGGUGAUCUGCCCUGCACUUCGGGAUAAGCCUGGGAAACUGGGUCUAAUACCGGAUAUGACCUCAGGUUGCAUGACUUGGGGUGGAAAGAUUUAUCGGUGCAGGAUGGGCCCGCGGCCUAUCAGCUUGUUGGUGGGGUAAUGGCCUACCAAGGCGACGACGGGUAGCCGACCUGAGAGGGUGACCGGCCACACUGGGACUGAGACACGGCCCAGACUCCUACGGGAGGCAGCAGUGGGGAAUAUUGCACAAUGGGCGAAAGCCUGAUGCAGCGACGCCGCGUGAGGAUGACGGCCUUCGGGUUGUAAACCUCUUUCAGCAGGGACGAAGCGACAAGUGACGGUACCUGCAGAAGAAGCACCGGCUAACUACGCGUCAGCAGCCGC